UACGUAGGGUGCGAGCGUUGUCCGGAUUUACUGGGCGUAAAGGGCUCGUAGGCGGCCAACUAAGUCGGAUGUGAAAUCCCCAGGCUUAACCUGGGAACUGCAUCCGAUACUGGAUGGCUUGAAUCCGGGAGAGGGAUGCAGAAUUCCAGGUGUAGCGGUGAAAUGCGUAGAUAUCUGGAGGAAUACCGGUGGCGAAGGCGGCAUCCUGGACCGGCAUUGACGCUGAGGAGCGAAAGCUAGGGGAGCAAACGGG
rnacentral:rRNA from 1 species